UACGAAGGGGGCUAGCGUUGUUCGGAGUUACUGGGCGUAAAGGGCGCGUAGGCGGCGCACCAAGUCAGGCGUGAAAGCCCUGGGCUCAACCCGGGAAUUGCGCUUGAGACUGGUGUGCUUGAGUACGGGAGAGGAUAGUGGAAUUCCCAGUGUAGAGGUGAAAUUCGUAGAUAUUGGGAAGAACACCGGUGGCGAAGGCGGCUCACUGGCCCGGUACUGACGCUGAGGUGCGAAAGCGUGGGGAGCAAACAGGGAUUAAGAA
rnacentral:rRNA from 1 species